CCUAGGGGGGCAGCAGUAGGGAAUUUUCGUCAAUGGGCGCAAGCCUGAACGAGCAAUGCCGCGUGAACGAGGAAGGUCUUCGGCUCGUAAAGUUCUGGUGAAGAGGAAAAAGAGCGGAGAGAGGAAAUGGUCUCCGAUUGAUAUUACCCUUCGAGGAAGUCACGGCUAACUACGUGCCAGCAGCCGCGGUAAUACGUAGGUGGCGAGCGUUAUCCGGAAUGAUUGGGCGUAAAGGGUGCGUAGGCGGCCUGCUAAGUCUGGAGUGAAAGGUGCCGGCUCAACCGGAACAGGCUCUGGAAACUGGC
rnacentral:rRNA from 1 species